rnacentral:rRNA from 1 species
AGUGAACGCUGGCGGUAGGCCUAACACAUGCAAGUCGAACGGCAGCACAGUAAGAGCUUGCUCUUACGGGUGGCGAGUGGCGGACGGGUGAGGAAUACAUCGGAAUCUACUUUUUCGUGGGGGAUAACGUAGGGAAACUUACGCUAAUACCGCAUACGACCUACGGGUGAAAGCAAGGGAUCUUCGGACCUUGCGCGAUUGAAUGAGCCGAUGUCGGAUUAGCUAGUUGGCGGGGUAAAGGCCCACCAAGGCGACGAUCCGUAGCUGGUCUGAGAGGAUGAUAAGCCACACUGGAACUGAGACACGGUCCAGACUCCUACGGGAGGCAGCAGUGGGGAAUAUUGGACAAUGGGCGCAAGCCUGAUCCAGCCAUACCGCGUGGGUGAAGAAGGCCUUCGGGUUGUAAAGCCCUUUUGUUGGGAAAGAAAAGCAGCAGGUUAAUACCCCGCUGUUCUGACGGUACCAAAAGAAUAAGCACCGGCUAACUUCGUG